UCGAGAAUUUUUCUCAAUGGGGGAAACCCUGAAGGAGCGACGCCGCGUGGAGGAUGAAGGUCUUCGGAUUGUAAACUCCUGUCAUUGGUGAACAAGGCCCUCGGUUAACUGCCGUUGGGUUUGAUAGUAGCCGAAGAGGAAGAGACGGCUAACUCUGUGCCAGCAGCCGCGGUAAUACAGAGGUCUCAAGCGUUGUUCGGAUUCAUUGGGCGUAAAGGGUGCGUAGGCGGCGAGGCAAGUCUGAUGUGAAAUCCCGGGGCUCAACCCCGGAACUGCAUUGGAUACUGCCUUGCUAGAGUACUGGAGAGGGAACUGGAAUUUACGGUGUAGCAGUGAAAUGCGUAGAUAUCGUAAGGAAGACCAGUGGCGAAGGCGAGUUCCUGGACAGUUACUGACGCUGAGGCACGAAGGCCAGGGGAGCAAACG
rnacentral:rRNA from 1 species